rnacentral:rRNA from 1 species
GUCAAAUCAGCACGGCCCUUACGUCCGGGGCGACACACGUGUUACAAUGGGGGGUACAGAGGGUUGCUACUGCGCGAGCAGAUGCUAAUCUCUUAAAACCCCUCUCAGUUCGGAUAGGAGUCUGCAACUCGACUCCUUGAAGCUGGAUUCGCUAGUAAUCGCGCAUCAGCCAUGGCGCGGUGAAUACGUUCCCGGGCCUU